UACGAAGGGGGCUAGCGUUGCUCGGAAUCACUGGGCGUAAAGGGCGCGUAGGCGGUCUUGCAAGUCCUGUGUGAAAUCCCUCGGCUCAACUGAGGAACUGCACAGGAAACUGCUUGGCUUGAGUUCGGGAGAGGGAAGCGGAAUUCCGGGUGUAGCGGUGAAAUGCGUAGAGAUUGGGUGGAACACCGGUGGCGAAGGCGGCUAUCUGGCUCACAACUGACGAUCAGGCACGAAAGCGUGGGGAGCAAACAGG
rnacentral:rRNA from 1 species